CUCUCAGCGGAGCCGCAUUUCCACGUGGCUCGCUUUGCCCUCACCCUUCACACUCCACAGCCCAGGGAAGCUCAUGGCAGACUCCCCACCGCUCCAGCUGGGCAUUCGCGCCCGCUCCAGAGGACACUGGCCAGUGCAGUGAAGCCGCACAGGGGCACCCUGGGCUCUGAGCUCCCGGCCGCGGUGGAGGUGGCCCUCCAGGUCACGGGCCUGCCCCGCCUCUGGCCCACGGGUCUGAGCUGCUGAUUUCCCUGUCCCAGCUCAGCUCCCGCCUUUCCAACACGGAGCAGAGAAGCACGGCUGUUGGGGCUGCUGUGAGCAUAAAGCACGGUGAGUCGUGGACGAUUCUUGGCGCGAUGCCUGUUUAGCCCCCUCGGCGAGCGUGCCCUGGGCCCCCUCCCUCUCCUCCAGCGACCCGAAGCUGCUCCAGAGCUGGCAGCUUGCAGUCUGGCCCUGCUGAGGUCCAGCCCCAGCCUGCUUCCCUCUGCCGCCUGUCGCCCCGGGCACACUUGAAUCUUCAUGAGGAUGAGCGCUGCACAGGUGAUGUCUGGCCAUCCUGGUGCCCCCUGGCUCAGAGCUGCUUCAAUCGCAUCUCUGCCUCUGUCGCUGCCUGGCCUUCCUCUCCGGGGGUCUCUGUGUCUCCGGUAUGUACUACGUCUCUUAUGAGAUCAGACUUAGGGCCCAGCCAAAAUUCAGAGUGUUUUCUCUCUAAAUUACAUCUGCAAAGACCCUGCUUCCAAAGAACCAUGGUCACAGGUUCUGGGGGUAUUCAUGUCCCUCUGUCUUCCCAGGGUUCUUGUGAAAUGGAAAUGGUACUACAGGAAGCAAAACACACCUGACAGAGAGCCCCUUAUAGGAGGAGCAAGCCACGGCAGGGCCUCUGGAGCAAGCAGGUGCAAGGGCGCAGGUGCACCUGCUCCCUCCUUUGUCAGACCCCUGCUCUCAGAGCACCACGUGCAUCGCUGCUUGUCUGACCAUGUACCCCAGGAUUCCCCAGGAAGUCGGCACCCCCCCAGCUGGGUUCUGGCUGUCUUUCUGGGAGCCUUCUGAAAGGAUGCCUUUCAGGAUAAACCUUCCACCGAACCCCGGGACAGAGCCUUCGGCGCCAUGCGCUCCUCGGGGAGGGUCGCUUGUCUCGCUCUGAUUUUUGUUAUGAACGUGAGUUGGGAAAGCUGUAUAUCAAAUAGGGCCUUGCUUUAUUUUGCAAUAGAUAUAGUUUUUCACCAUGGCAGCAUCUCCCCCGGCGGGGGCCAAUUCCGGGGACACAUGUGGGAGUCGUUGUCCCUUCAAGCUCGUCAACCCGCCAGGUAGAUGUUUGAACUGCACCUUGCGUUUCUGAACAGUCUUGGGUUGUAGCAAAUGCUCGGAGGGCAGCUCUUUCAAGAGCUCCUGCUCAGUGUGGAGCGAGCGCCUGGCCCACGCACCUCCCUCUGCAAAUGAGCGCGGCGCUGGGUUUUGAAGCCCUGCGAUUGCUCACCUGGGACGUGGAAAUGUGACGUGGAAAGGCUCCAGGGGACGAGGCAGCCGGGCUACUUCAGCAAAAAUCCCCGGAAGUCGUGAGCGCAGCACCCUUCAUCGGGGUCCACAGACAGUGCUCCUAAAUUGGACUAGCUGGGCGUCUCCUGACUCUACAGCAUUUACCGGCCUGGAUUUUGUUGGAACGAACCAGUUGACUAUAGAAUCCUCAAUGGCUGUGGACGCAC